rnacentral:tRNA from 1 species
GCGAGAGUGGUGGAACUGGUAGACACGCUGGAUUUAGGAUCCAGUGCAUUCGUGCGUAGGGGUUCAAAUCCCCUCUCUCGCACCA